rnacentral:rRNA from 1 species
UACGAAGGGGGCUAGCGUUGCUCGGAAUCACUGGGCGUAAAGGGUGCGUAGGCGGGUUUUUAAGUCAGAGGUGAAAUCCUGGAGCUCAACUCCAGAACUGCCUUUGAUACUGGAAGUCUUGAGUAUGGGAGAGGUGAGUGGAACUGCGAGUGUAGAGGUGAAAUUCGUAGAUAUUCGCAAGAACACCAGUGGCGAAGGCGAGUCCCUGGACAAGACCUGACACUGAGGCACGAAAGCCAGGGGAGCAAACAGG